UGUCUUUUUGAAAAUAAUAUAAAGUCUAAUCUGCCCACUGAUUUAUUAUUAAAGGGCUGCAGUAUAUUGACUGUACAAAGGUAGCAUAAUCAUUAGUCAUUUAAUUGAUGACUUGUAUGAAGGAUUGGAUGAAAUAUAAACUGUCUCUUAAUUAUAUUUAGAAUUUAAUUUUUUAAUUAAAAAGUUAAAAUAAAUUAGAAAGACGAGAAGACCCUAUAGAGUUUUAUAGGUAAAAUUAAUUGAGAUUAUUUGUAAGGUUAAAAUUAAGAUUAAUUUAUUUAUUUUGUUGGGGUGACAGAAAAAUAUGAAAAACUUUUUAUAUGUUUAAAACAUUAAUAAGUGGUUAAAUGAUCCAAUAUUAUUGAUUAUAAGAAAAAAUUACCUUAGGGAUAACAGCGUAAUUUUUUUUUUUAGUUCACAUAAAAAAAAAAGUUUGCGACCUCGAUGUUGGAUUAAGAUAAAAUUUAAAUGCAGAAG
rnacentral:rRNA from 1 species